rnacentral:rRNA from 1 species
CAUGUGGUUUAAUUCGAUGCAACGCGAAGAACCUUACCAGGUCUUGACAUCUGUAGAACCUUGUUGAAAGACAGGGGUGCCUUCGGGAGCUACAAGACAGGUGGUGCAUGGUUGUCGUCAGCUCGUGUCGUGAGAUGUUGGGUUUAAGUCCCGCAACGAGCGCAACCCUUGCUAUUAGUUGCUAACAGGUAGAGCUGAGCACUCUAAUGGGACUGCCCGUGACAAGCGGGAGGAAGGUGGGGAUGACGUCAAAUCAUCAUGCCCUUUAUGAUCUGGGCUACACACGUGCUACAAUGGAUGGUACAGAGAGCAGCGAGGCCGCGAGGUGGAGCGAAUCUCAAAAAGCCAUUCUCAGUUCGGAUUGCAGUCUGCAACUCGACUGCAUGAAGUCGGAAUCGCUAGUAAUCGCGAAUCAGCACGCUGCGGUGAAUACGUUCCCGGGCCUU